GAAAUCAGUUAAGAGUCGUUUCCUAGCAUUGAGGUCAAUGUUCAGUUUAGCGGGGUAUAUUGUAAUAAAUAUUUGACAAAUGAUUGUUGCGUGUGAUUGUAUUAGUCUAUAUAGAGUGAUAGUCAAUGUAAAAAGAGCAAAUGGGGAAAAACAGAUGAACACAAAACAGCAAUUAAACCAAAUUAAAGAGGGUAAACUUUAUUCAACUGAUUUGUACAGAACCAUGAAGCAACGAUGCUAAUGAAAAAUGUGUUCGCUUGUUUUAGCGACUGAAUCAGAUCAAAGCUCACUUCCAGACGGUUUCCUCCUCAGAACAUGGAAGAACUUCUCCAUCUGUGAGCGAUGCCAGUGGACUUGAGGCGGGGACAAUCCUCGUAUUAAAAAAACAUGGUCACAAUUCUCCAGAUCUGGUUCUGGCCGCCGCCGGCCACUAAUUAACACACAACAGCGCUAUCGAUUUCUCAUUGGCCACAAUCGCAGGUGCUCUUUGCUGCGUCCGCUGCACUUUCCCUCAGACGGACGUCUCAUUCCGCCUCCGUUUCUCCAGUGGAGGAGCUCAGGACAGCGUGCAGAUGAAGACAGGUUUGGUACAGGCCAGUCCAGCCUUCACACAUAAUCACUAGUGACGAGUACAGACAGGCCUGGGCCACUGACAGACACUACAAACGCUCAGUGAUGCUGAUCUGUGACAUACUGACACUGGAAAUAAUGUCAAUGUGCAGCUCAUUUUGUUAAAAUAUUUGCAUUGAUUAACCAUGACAAUUAUAGGACAAUUAUUGUUUUUUAUAAUUAUUAGUCUUAUUUUUACAUUUUAUAAUUGCUAGUUUGUAAUAAUUAUUGUUUUAUAUUACCUUUCCAUUAUUAUUAUUUAUUUUUUGUACUUUUUUAAAAUUAUUCUUAUUAAGGCAUUAAUAA